rnacentral:rRNA from 1 species
AAGGAUCGUUAUUGUCAAGACCUGCCCAAUAGAGCGACCCGCGAACGAGUGAAAAAAUGCACGUGCGGUUCGAGGAGGGGCGCGCCCCUGAUCGUCCGCCCGAAAUAAACCAAAAACCGGCGCUACAGGCGCCAAGGAUAUCUUAGCGGAAACAGGGGGUCGCACCGUUCGUGGUCGCGGCCUUGGGGUUCCGAUACUCGAACGACUCCCGGCAACGGAUAUCUCGGCUCUUGCAUCGGUGAAGAACGUAGCGAAAUGCGAUACUUGGUGUGAACUGCAGAAUCCCGUGAACCAUCGAGUGUUUGAACGCAAGUUGCGCCCGAGGCCACUAGGCCGAGGGCACGUCUGCCUGGGCGUCACACACAGCGUCGCACCCCGCCAACCACGUUGUCGGGGAGCGGAAAUUGGCCCCCCGGGCCCUUGAGGGCACGGCCGGCACAAAUGUUGGUCCCCGACGGCGAGCGUCGCGGUUAACGGUGGUUGUACUACUCACCCCCGAAGACAUCAAGAUGCGCCGCUCCGCACCACGACGGGACACACGACCCCAAGGAACCGCCUCGCGCGGCAUCCACCCUGCGACCCCAGGUCAGGCGGGACUACNCGCUGUGUUUAA